AACUGAUUCGAAGAGCAGCAGCAAAAUCCCAGCAGAAGAUCUCACUCAACCUUCCUCCACAUUAAAUCAACAUUGAAAAAGCAGAACGUGAACAAAAAGGAAACUGGAACCUGGAUCUUGGAAACUAAUUACUUGCCCUUGGACCUGAAAAAAUUUGUUAUGGAGUGACAGAACUAUCCAGCCAUGGAGCAGCUUUCCAGCCAUCCAUCCAUGAUCUACAUCACUUAUCAUGUUUGGGGCGACAGGAGGCUGGAGCUGAUCAGACGAGAGGCAUGUCUGUUUCACUGCUGAUGCUAUAACCCUCCUCCACCCCAGCUACCUCCAUUCAGUUCAUCAGCAUCUAGUCCAGAUCCUCACAGGUCAUCUGCUCAUCCUGCAUUCCUCAGUCGUCUCCUCCAAGCCACCUCAUUGGUUCCUGGUCCAGCUUCCCAGAAGUCUACUCAUCUGAUCCUGCAUCCCUCAUCAACACCACCAGUGUCUAGACUCCAUAGGGGGUAUCCUAUUCCUGCCCCUUCAAGUACCAUGAAGUCAUCAUGAUGGAGUCUAAUUGCCAAAGACUUUGCACAUAACUCUUUGUUAAAAUUAUUAAGAUAAAUUAUUAAUUUGUA